rnacentral:rRNA from 1 species
GAUGAACGCUGGCGGCGUGCUUAACACAUGCAAGUCGAACGAAGCAUUUUAACUUGAUUUCUUCGGAAUGAUUGUUACUUUGACUGAGUGGCGGACGGGUGAGUAACGCGUGGGUAACCUGCCUCAUACAGGGGGAUAACAGUUAGAAAUGACUGCUAAUACCGCAUAAGCGCACAGUACCGCAUGGUACAGUGUGAAAAACUCCGGUGGUAUGAGAUGGACCCGCGUCUGAUUAGCUAGUUGGUGGGGUAACGGCCUACCAAGGCGACGAUCAGUAGCCGACCUGGGAGGGUGACCGGCCACAUUGGGACUGAGACACGGCCCAAACUCCUACGGGAGGCAGCAGUGGGGAAUAUUGCACAAUGGGCGAAAGCCUGAUGCAGCGACGCCGCGUGAAUGAAGAAGUAUUUCGGUAUGUAAAGUUCUAUCAGCAGGGAAGAUAAUGACGGUACCUGACUAAGAAGCACCGGCUAAAUACGUGCCAGCCGCCGCCGUAAGAC